CAAAAACAUUGCUUUAUGAAUCACGUAAAGUUUUUUCUGCUCAAUGAGACAUUGAAUAGCCGCAGUACCUUGACUGUGCAAAGGUAGCAUAAUAAAUUGUCUUUUAAUUGAAGUCUUGUAUGAAAGAAAUAAUGGGGGCAAGCUGUACCUUAUACACUAUAUUAACUUGCUAAGGUGGUGAAAAAUCCCCUAAUAUUAUAAUAGACGAGAAGACCCUAGAAAUUUUGAAGGUGUGUUUUUGUUGGGGCAACAUAGUAGCAAAUAACCUAUUUUAUGUAUAUGAAAUAUAAUUGAUAAAUUAAAUUACUCUAGGGAUAACAGCAUAAUAUUAAAGUGUUUGUGACCUCGAUGUUGGAUUAGGAAGUUGUGGUUUAGAAGAUAAUCAAUUGUGCUCUGUUCGAGCA
rnacentral:rRNA from 1 species